GUGCUCACUUCGGCAGCGCAUAUACUAAAAUUGGAAAGAUACAAAGAUUAGCAUGGCCCCUGCACAAGGAUGACAUGAAAAUUCAUGAAGCGUUCCAUAUUUUU
ensembl:snRNA Gm24499 predicted gene, 24499